GGUUGUAGAGCUUCGACUUUAAAGAAUUGCUCCUUAUGCCAAUGAGCACUUAUAUGCUUUCCUUACAACAGUCCUGUAAGAUCGAUGGCAUUAGUUCUACACUGAAAACUCUUAAGUAUGCUGUGGGGAAAGUGAGGACAAGCACUCCUAUGUAGAUUUCUUCCCUCACCAUCAAGCUACACUGCAGUGGUCCAGAGCAUUGAAAAUAAGAGAUCAUCUGUUGCCCAGACCAUGGACUCAAAGCCAUUCCAGUCAUGUUGGAUGGGACAGAGUCUAUAUUUUUCUGCCCUGAACUUGGAGAGCCCAAGGUCAUCGUGAAGAAGGCAUGGGAGGUGGGCUAGGGGAAGAGUCUGACAGUGAAAA